rnacentral:tRNA from 1 species
GCUCCCGUCGUUCAAUGGAUAGGACAUGCGUUUGCGGAACACAAAAUCUAGGUUCGAUUCCUAGCGGGAGCA